GACGAACGCUGGCGGCGUGCUUAACACAUGCAAGUCGAACGGAAAGGCCCUGCCUUUGUGGGGUGCUCGAGUGGCGAACGGGUGAGUAACACGUGAGUAACCUGCCCUUGACUUUGGGAUAACUUCAGGAAACUGGGGCUAAUACCGGAUAGGAGCUCCUGCUGCAUGGUGGGGGUUGGAAAGUUUCGGCGGUUGGGGAUGGACUCGCGGCUUAUCAGCUUGUUGGUGGGGUAGUGGCUUACCAAGGCUUUGACGGGUAGCCGGCCUGAGAGGGUGACCGGCCACAUUGGGACUGAGAUACGGCCCAGACUCCUACGGGAGGCAGCAGUGGGGAAUAUUGCACAAUGGGCGGAAGCCCGAUGCAGCAACGCCGCGUGCGGGAUGACGGCCUUCGGGUUGUAAACCGCUUUCGCCUGUGACGAAGCGUGAGUGACGGUAAUGGGUAAAGAAGCACCGGCUAACUACGUG
rnacentral:rRNA from 1 species